AUCCUGUUUUUAUCAAGGAAGAAAUUUCAUGCUUGGCAAAUGUGCUUAGCAGCUCCAUGAAAUUGAGCCCUGAUGACUCCACUACAUUCAACCAUUCAAGUGACGUAGCGAUGCUGAGGCUAACCAACACUUGUUGGUACAAAAAGACAACAACAUACCCUUAGGUUGAGAUGACGACCUUGAAGAUGACCUCUUGGGAUACUAAUUACACUUUUUGAGCUGACCACUAGCUGAAGGACUGUGACACGUCUGGCCACUACACGUUCAAAUGUUCAAGUGAUGUAUGCCAGUGGAGGCUAACCAACACUUUUUUGGAAAGGAGCAAAAAGUAAACAACAGACAACUUUAUUGAGUUUAUGGUCUUGGAGAUGACAUACACCCAACAUUGAGGCUAAUCAACACUUUUUGGACUGAGUGCCACUAGCUGAAGGACUGUGCCAGUCAGCACCAUUUCAAGCUCGAUGAGUCUCUGCUACAAGUUCAAUCAAUAAAGCGACGAUGUGAGGAUAUAACCAUAAUGAUUUGGACUGGACAGCUGAAGAUCCGGGGCAUAGUUCAAGGGUCAAAGGGACAGGACAUGAUAACACUUUUCAGAGCCAACUCUAGAUUUUCCACACCAUGCAAAGCUUCAAUGCUUUUUGGACUGUCACCGACUAAAGAAAGACUGUCGAGUUUAGCCAGAUGAUAUACCCACAUGAACUGAAAUAAUCUGGACCAUGAUGAUGGCGCCAUGUAUGAUGACACUCGGUGGGAGCUUUGGGUGUUUCUAAAUGUGAGCUGCGGCUAUGGCUGCAGAUGUUGCUAAGGGACACAUACUUUAAACAUGUUCAUGUGAUGAUCAAGCCACAUCCACAGCCAUUCAUUCAGAUAUACAGCCUUAUUGAUGUUUACUCAUAGGCCUUUUUUGAAUCCAUGAAAAUCCCACAUUGUACAAGUAGCUCAGUUACUCGCAUGAGUUGAUUUGAUAACACUGGCACGCCUGGCCUCGUGACGAGCAUUGUUGAACCAUAAUUGGAAAUCAAAUUAAAAUAUUUAAACCAAGCAGGCCUACAAUAUAUGCUUUGGAAUUUGAUGGCGUCAAAGAAGUUAGAAAUGCAAGUCUAAAGAUUGAUGCAGUUCAGAAACAAACAAUCAAAUGCGAUUGCCACAAAUGUCAGAAAGCAAGCAACUCAACUAUGAGCCCUGCAUUUAAACUUGUUAGCCAAAACCUUUUAACUACAAACGAGUGGAAAUGCCAGGAACAAUUAAAAUAGGGUUACAGGGAAUAUUUGAACAAAUUUCCAAACUAAAGUCACAAAUUUAUUUGAUAUGUUGGACAUCUUUCAAAGACAAGCUUGGGUUUAGCCGUUGUCCUUAUGGUACACUGCUUUGUAAAAUAAUUUAUUUGGUGAAGGUAGAAAAACGGACAAAAUUGCAAGGUUAUUUUGUACCAGUAUUUUGAGGUAAUAAAAUCAUUUUUGUUAGAUUAAAUCUGUUCAAUUUAAUUUCUGUAUAAAUAUAGAUCCUUUAUCUAUACUAGUGUGUAAACUUGAUACAUUGUCUAAUUAGAUUCAAAGAUGGGUGGGAAAUUUCAAAGUGUAAAUGAGGCAAAGUAGACCAAAUGCAUGUUGUAUAGUGAAUACGAGCAGGACUCUGUUGCAAUGUGAUCACAAAUCAUGGCAACAAUCACAACACCAGGGCUGGGUGUCACACAAAAUAUGAGAAGCGUAACAGCUGUAACGCUUCUCGGAUUGUGUACUCUAAUUGCAUAUUACCCUGCGCAUAACAUCUCAAGACUUUAUUUAGGCAAUCUGAAAAAAUGUAAUGAUUUUGCCAGUGGAAUAUUCUUUACUAAGUCUUUACUAAAAAUGCAUAAACUUAGGCCUAUUGCUUGAAGUAUUGCUUGAAAUAAUUUAAUUUCAAUCAUGAGGUCUUUAUAAUUAUGAGAAUAAUAAAUAACUGACAAUAAAGUCGAACAGAAUAGAGUAAUAAAAUGGUUAGCGUGCACAAUACCCACGUGUUCAUGGGA